rnacentral:rRNA from 1 species
GACGAACGCUGGCGGCGUGCUUAACACAUGCAAGUCGAACGGAAAGGCCCUGCUUUUGUGGGGUGCUCGAGUGGCGAACGGGUGAGUAACACGUGGGUAACCUGACCUUGACUUUGGGAUAACUUCAGGAAACUGGGGCUAAUACCGGAUAGGAGCUCCUGCUGCAUGGUGGGGGUUGGAAAGUUUCGGCGGUUGGGGAUGGACUCGCGGCUUAUCAGCUUGUUGGUGGGGUAGUGGCUUACCAAGGCUUUGACGGGUAGCCGGCCUGAGAGGGUGACCGGCCACAUUGGGACUGAGAUACGGCCCAGACUCCUACGGGAGGCAGCAGUGGGGAAUAUUGCACAAUGGGCGGAAGCCUGAUGCAGCAACGCCGCGUGCGGGAUGACGGCCUUCGGGUUGUAAACCGCUUUCGCCUGUGACGAAGCGUGAGUGACGGUAAUGGGUAAAGAAGCACCGGCUAACUACGUG